AAACUAACUCAGAUGCAUCUAUUGAAUUAGAGAGUGAGAUGUAGAAAGGUAAUAGAGAAGGUUCCAAAUGUUUUGAUUUUUCUCCUCCAGCACAUAUCAGAAUUCAACUAAAGAAAAGUUGACAUUCUCAAUAGUGUGCAUUUUCUUUCAUUACAUAAAGAUAACUAAACAAGGUUAUAUCAUAUAUUCCUAGCAACAAAGAACAAAUUCCUUUUUUGUUCCACAAAACUAUUAAUUCUCAUAAUCAUGAUUUGAAAGUAAAUACUUGCUUUUGGUAGGUGAAUACAAA
rnacentral:lncRNA from 1 species